GAAAAUUACGACAUUAUUAACAUCAAUGCGCCAAUUUUGUAAAAAAUUUUCAUCAAUAUUCUAUUUUCAAUUGUAAAACUCAGAGAAUUUCGUCCUAACGAAGUCUUUAUUCAGAGACGAAAGCUUGGCGAUUUGUGAAAUAGAGUAAGUUGGUUUUUUGAACGUGUUCGACUGAAAGUCCCGUCAGUCUCUACCUUCCAGCUUCCAGAAAACAAUUUCUGUGCAAAAAGAAAACAUAGGAUAUUAGUACUUGUAAUACUAUGUGUAUUAUUUGUAAUGCCGAACAUAUUUUAAGAAUUAUAUGGCUCGGUAAACAACAUUGAA